GGUGAAGAAACCUGCGUAUGUGUUUUGACGACACCAUUAGUUUCCAAAACACACAUGUACCAUGAGUGAGGACACUGUGGGACACAGAAAAGGUGAUUUGCCAGGCAGGUGGAUUAUUAUGGGCUGGCCCCUGUGGACUCCUCCUCUCCAUGUAUAUCAGUGUUAAAUGGAAGAAUUCAGCUGGCUGCCUGCACUGAUUGGGCCUGACACACACUUUGGGCAUUUUGCCUGCCAUUGGUUUUGGGUCCCUAAACAGGCUCACAGGGAACCUGGAGUCUAUCCUGGGUGACUCGGGGCACAAGGCAGGGGACACCCUGGAUGGGGUGCCAACUCAUCACAGGGCACAGUCUCUGACACUACAGACAAUUUAGAUCAGCCCACAACACAUCUUUGAACUGGGAAGGAAACCAGAGUACCUGGAGGAAACCUUCUGAAGUACAGGGAGAACAUAAAAACUAGAAACACAGACAGGAACCAAACCUCCAACAGGUGUGAGGCAAACUACUAAUUAAGGCUUUUCGUUCGCUAUUAAUUGUUUUGUGUUACACAACAACACUCAAUUCUCAAAUCUGAUUGGCCAGAAGGUGUGGACUAAAUUUUCUUUAUAUCAGCACAGCUCAGCACGGGCAGCCAGCAGUAAUUCAAAUCUAAUGUGUCUAAUGUGUUAUCCUUUCUCAUUUGCAUCAUGUAAUCUAA